GGGAUAAUGAGGAGGCAGAAAGAGAAUGGAGGGAGGAGAACAGCAGGGAAAAGACAGAAGGCCUUCCUGCAUCUUACUCAUUUCCUUCAGAUUCAACUUAUAUUUUUUCCUCUCAAGUACAUAUUUUAGUAUUUCUUUCAGGGAAGAUCUGCUACAGGCUCCACCUGUGGCCAUCCACUUCCCAGGAGAGCUGUUUGCCACUGUGGGACACCUUUGCUCCAUAGCUCCAUCUGAUCCAACAUGAAAUGGUCACCUCUUUCCCAGCUACACUGUGUGACCUGGUACCUCCUACAUCAAACCUAAGCCUGCCUUCACAUGAUGCAAAUAUCCCAUUGUCAGUCUCCUGCCCAGUCCAAGAACAGCCCCUUGCCUCAUUUGUCUCGGCUCCCAGCUCCCACCUCCUGCCUGUGUUCUUAGGUCACACCAGUGUGGUGGAGCCCAAAGGAACUGGAUCCUAGACUUGAACAUGAUGUUCACAGUGUGGUCCAACCAACCCCAACCACAGGUACCUCUGGUAAAGUACAGACCACACAAACCAUGAUGUCAUCCAUGCCACCAAGUCUGCACUAGUUCCCUUACCAAACACAGCAUCCACCUGGCUCCUUUUGAGCUUGGAUCAUUCUCACAGCCCCAGUGGCCGAGCCAGCCCUCUCUCAUUCUGUCCUUGUUAAAGUGGCUUCAUUUUUCAAUAUAACUGUGGGACCUUCCUUUUCAUUCCUGUUUUCUGCCAGGAGAAUGGAUCAUAAUCUGACCAUAAAGGGAAAUUCUAACCUGAAGGCUUCUGACCAUGGAGGAGAGAACUUCCCAACAGCAAAGAGUGACGGGACUUCCUAGGGGCCAAGAAUCAAAAGUGUGUUCUUGGCCUCCACACUGGCUCAAUGGUGAUGUGGAAUUUACCUCACCACAGUCUUGGGAAGAUUCGAGGAGGGGAAAGGGCCUUCUGGAGAGGGGAUAUUAUAACUUUGAAUGGACAGCUAAAGGACUACAUAAUUUUAGAAACUUCUUCCAAAAAACCACAUUGAUUUUCAGGAAAUUAGCUCUUUUGUUGACAGCUGGUGGCUACUGAGUGCCCAAGCUUGCAUGGUCUCUCCAAAUCAAUGGCCAGCCACCCAUGUUUUGCUUGAGGGCCCCAACCCCUCAGCAUGGCUGUCAACUCCAUCGUCCCGGGCCCAGGCAAUAUGGCACCCUCCACUGGGAUCCUUUCAGAGUGUUGCCACUUCACCAAGGACCUGGGUCUUGCUAGUCUUGACCCUACCAACCUCUCUCCUUUUCCCUCCUGAAGCCCCUAAAGACAACUCCUCAAGGAAUUCCAAAAGAAACAGCCACUGAUGUUAAGCGGACUUAUCUUCAAACCUUCCCGGAGGAGAGACUGCUCAGAGCCUCUCUGAGUGCAUGAAAUGGAGUGGAAAAUAUAAGAUGAAAACAAAGCUUGUACAUCCAUGGAUUAGCCCACCACGAUUAUAACUGUGUGCCCAAGGAAUAAGCCGCAAGCCAAUUCACUGACCAAAGCCAUGUUGGCUGGGGACUGCAGACCUGAACACAGCCUCCCUUUUCUCUUCCACACGCAGCUCCAGGACACUUGCCUGCCUGAGCAGAUGUUGUUGGGAUCUGUAGGUGACCAAGUAUGAGUGAGUUCCGCAGGAGUCCCUAAACUCAGAGCCAUCUACUGGAAGUUGGACACAGAGCCCAGAGAAAGAAUGAAGGAG
rnacentral:lncRNA from 9 species